rnacentral:rRNA from 1 species
GAUGAACGCUGGCGGCGUGCCUAAUACAUGCAAGUCGAGCGAACAGACGAGGAGCUUGCUCCUCUGACGUUAGCGGCGGACGGGUGAGUAACACGUGGAUAACCUACCUAUAAGACUGGGAUAACUUAGGGAAACCGGAGCUAAUACCGGAUAAUAUAUUGAACCGCAUGGUUCAAUAGUGAAAGACGGUUUUGCUGUCACUUAUAGAUGGAUCCGCGCCGCAUUAGCUAGUUGGUAAGGUAACGGCUUACCAAGGCAACGAUGCGUAGCCGACCUGAGAGGGUGAUCGGCCACACUGGAACUGAGACACGGUCCAGACUCCUACGGGAGGCAGCAGUAGGGAAUCUUCCGCAAUGGGCGAAAGCUUGACGGAGCAACGCCGCGUGAGUGAUGAAGGUCUUCGGAUCGUAAAACUCUGUUAUUAGGGAAGAACAAAUGUGUAAGUAACUAUGCACGUCUUGACGGUACCUAAUCAGAAAGCCACGGCUAACUACGUG